AUCUAAUCAUUAUGAAGAUGAUGACGACGACUCAUAUUUCACUCAAGACUUUUACUUGAGCUUGGGAUUGGGAUUUGCUUUUGGAUUUUGGGCCUUCCUUGGACCAUUGCUCUUCAAUCGCACUUGGAGACAAACCUAUUAUACAUUUGUAAGAAGAGUUACAGAUAGAGUCCAGAUCUUGAUGGCCAUUUAUGUGGCAAGGUACCUCACGAACAGAUAGAAUCUGCAACUUAUUUGGCUUGGUGUACGUAGGAUCAUCCUUGGUAGUUAAUAAUUUGUGAGUGCAAGUAAAAACCGUUGGUUGUAUGAGUUUGCUAUGUUAUAUGUAAUCUAAUCUACUUUUAAUAAUCUUCAUUACUAGCAUUAUAUUCAAUCGAGCUAUUGCUUUUCUAUUGCCUUGUAAAUCUUUUCUGUUGUAAACAAACUGGGGCUGAUAGCUUGAUGAUUUGUAUGAAUGUUUGUCUGUUCGGUUAUAUGAUUUCUAUUGGAUAAAUGUGGGCACCCUAUACAAAACUUGGUAGCUUAGCUUCUUACAAUUUAA